CCUGGAAGGCUGGACGGGGGAGCUCGGCCACCGCAGCCAAAGCCCCAGGAGCGAAAGCCAAAACCGAAAGCAGAGGCGUGCCAGAUCCGCCCAACUUGCCUCCCGCUCCCUCCCUUCAGAGUUCAGAUCAGAGCUCUCCGUCGAUUCCGACGCAGCCGCCGCCGACUCAUCCUCCUCCACCUCACCGGAAGGCCGCCUGGCCACGCGCCCGAGCCGAAUCCCUCGCCCUGCCUCCCGUGAUUCAGACGUGUUUCCUGGCUGCGUGGAAAUGGAAGGCGUUGUUGUAAGGAGAGUGAUCCCUUCGGACAACAGUUGCCUCUUCAAUGCGGUCGGUUAUGUGAUGGAGCAUAACAAAAAUAAGGCUUCUGAGCUCAGACAGGUCAUAGCAGCAGCGGUUGCAAGUGAUCCUGAAAAGUACAACGAAGCAUUUCUUGGAAAACCAAAUGAAGCGUAUUGUGCUUGGAUUAUGGACCCUGAGAAGUGGGGAGGUGCCAUAGAACUUUCAAUUCUGUCAGAAUAUUAUGGGCGUGAAAUUGCUGCAUAUGACAUCCAGACAACACGAUGUGAUCUGUAUGGUCAGGGGAAGAACUACAAUGAGAGGGCAAUGCUCAUUUAUGAUGGGUUGCAUUACGAUGCUUUAGCAAUGUCUCCAGCUGAAGGGGCACCAGAAGAAUUUGAUCAGACCAUCUACGUUGUUGACCAGAACCGUUCCAUUGGUCCAGUAGAAGGCCUUGCUCUUAACUUAGCGAAGGAGGCACAUAGGAAGAGGAGCUACACAGACACCGCAAACUUUACAUUGCGCUGCGGCGUGUGCCAAAUUGGUGUCAUUGGUCAAAAGGAAGCUGUGGAACACGCGCAAGCCACCGGCCAUGUCAAUUUCCAAGAAUACAAAUGACCAUAGAAGAUAUACUAGUUCUUCUUCUUCCGCUGUUGUUGUACACUCAUUUGUUGCAAUUGUUUUCUUCCUGAUAUGGUACUAUUGCAAAAUAUUAAUUUGUUACAGAGCAAAUUUAAUAAGCUCCAGUUUGGAUAUUGAUUUUGAUGUUCAUAUUGACUACUAACUUGAAGCAUUGAAGAUCCAGUGAUCAAUGUAUCUAGUAAUAUGUUGUGAUCUUGUUCUUUUUUCUUUUUUGUCCUUCAAGUGGCUCCAC
rnacentral:rRNA from 1 species